GAAAUACUUUUGUGUCAAGUACUGAAACUUGGGGGCCUUGUCCAAAUACCACGCAAUAGUCGUAUUCCAGAUCUGAAGCACUGUAAAGCAAACACCUUUCCCAGUUAUUAGAAGCGUAUUAUUCAAUAUGAUACGCUCUGAGAAUGUUGAAGCCACUUAUCCACAUUCUUUUUUAGCCAUAUGAAAAGUGACUCUAAGUUCAUAUGGGAGAGAUUCACAAGUAAAG